CCGGAACGUUGGUAUACGUAGGUGGCAGCGUUAUCCGGAAUUAUUGGGCGUAAAGCGCGCGCAGGUGGUUUCUUAAGUCUGAUGUGAAAGCCCACGGCUCAACCGUGGAGGGUCAUUGGAAACUGGGAGACUUGAGUGCAGAAGAGGAAAGUGGAAUUCCAUGUGUAGCGGUGAAAUGCGUAGAGAUAUGGAGGAACACCAGUGGCGAAGGCGACUUUCUGGUCUGUAACUGACACUGAGGCGCGAAAGCGUGGGGAGCAAACAGGAUUAGAUACCCUGGUAGUCCACGCCGUAAACGAUGAGUGCUAAGUGUUAGAGGGUUUCCGCCCUUUAGUGCUGAAGUUAACGCAUUAAGCACUCCGCCUGGGGAGUACGGCCGCAAGGCUGAAACUCAAAGGAAUUGACGGGGGCCCGCACAAGCGGUGGAGCAUGUGGUUUAAUUCGAAGCAACGCGAAGAACCUUACCAGGUCUUGACAUCCUCUGAAAACCCUAGAGAUAGGGCUUCUCCUUCGGGAGCAGAGUGACAGGUGGUGCAUGGUUGUCGUCAGCUCGUGUCGUGAGAUGUUGGGUUAAGUCCCGCAACGAGCGCAACCCUUGAUCUUAGUUGCCAUCAUUAAGUUGGGCACUCUAAGGUGACUGCCGGUGACAAACCGGAGGAAGGUGGGGAUGACGUCAAAUCAUCAUGCCCCUUAUGACCUGGGCUACACACGUGCUACAAUGGACGGUACAAAGAGCUGCAAGACCGCGAGGUGGAAGUUAUUUCAUAAAACCGUUUUCAGUUUGGAAUGUAGGCUUCAACUUGCCUACCUGGAACCGGAAUCGCUUGUUAUUGCGGGUCAGCAUGCCGCGGGGGAAUCGUUUCCGGGCCUUGUACCCCCCCCCCGUCCCCACCCGAGAAUUUGUUACCCCCGAAAUUGGUGGGGUAACCUUUUUGGAACCCACCGCCUUAGGUGGGACCAGAGAUUGGGGGGAAGUUGUUACCAGGUAACCGGAUCGGAAAGGUCGGGUGGGUCCCCUCCCUUUUAAGGAGAAAUGAUGAACGCUUUUCAUCCAUAAAGUUUCCGUGUUUUGUUUUUUUCAGUUUUGAGAGAACUAUUUUUCAUAUAUAAAAGUAUGUUUUUUGAAAAAUAGAAAACAAUGUAGGUUAUAUUUUUUAAUUUUUAGUUUGGUUAAGUUAGAAAGGGCGCACGGUGGAUGCCUUGACACUAGGAGUCGAUGAAGGACGGGACUAACGCCGAUAUGCUUCGGGGAGCUGUAAGUAAGCUUUGAUCCGAAGAUUUCCGAAUGGGGAAACCCACCAUACGUAAUGGUAUGGUAUCCUUAUCUGAAUACAUAGGUAAGAGCGCAGUC
rnacentral:rRNA from 1 species